UACGGAGGGGGCGAGCGUUAUUCGGAAUCAUUGGGCGUAAAGGGCGCGUAGGCGGCCGUUUGCGUCGGAUGUGAAAGCCCGGGGCUCAACCUCGGAACGGCAUUCGAUACGGGACGGCUGGAGACCGGGAGAGGAGAGUGGAAUAGCCAGUGUAGAGGUGAAAUUCGUAGAUAUUGGCUGGAACACCGGUGGCGAAAGCGGCUCUCUGGCCCGGUUCUGACGCUGAGGCGCGAAAGCGUGGGGAGCAAACAGG
rnacentral:rRNA from 1 species